GGGCUCGUGGUCUAGUGGUUUGUUUUUAAAAACCCAUAGAUGACAUCACCUUUACACGGUGGAGGUCCCAGGUUCAAAUCCUGGCGGGCCCA
rnacentral:tRNA from 1 species